AAAAUCGUCAGUGUAUCAAAUACUUGUUCUCCCCACUGUAGAUAAUAAUCCUGCUUAUCUUAAUUUCCAUAAUUAACCAUUGUAAUAAUGUAGGUAGUUUAAGAAAAGGAUUGUUGCCUCUUACCAGUAUUGCCAUUACAAAAAUUACAAUUUGGCAAGCAAUUAUUAUUUUAUCAAACAAUUAUUGUGAUUCAUCCUGUAUAUUGUCCUUAACAUGUUUACUCCCUAGCAACAAACACACUCAAUCCCUUUCCCCCACAAACAACCAUACACUCAGAUGCUCAACAGUUGUUCCAUCUGAGUGUGACCGGAAUCCCCACCGGCUAGAUACAAGGUCGUCAAGGUUCUCAUUAGCAGCUUUGAGAAUUUCCCUGUAUAUUAUGCUCUCCCAUCAGGGAGCUUUGGCUUUGUCGGACCAACCCUGCCAGGCAGGCUCAAAAUCUUGAGGGGGCAGUGCUGCUUUAGUAGGUCUCUGACCACAUUAAUCUUUCUGAUUUGGCUGUGUAUAGGCUACUUACAGUUGGUCAAUAAAACAGAUAAGGACUUCACCUUAGUGUAUGGGUCGCUCAGGUGGGUGACUAGGGUAUAGGGUUGGGAACAGUUCCAUCAUGAUAGGACAGUAAAUAAAUCAUUUAUUUUAAAAUGUAUAUCCCAUAUCUGUGUAACGGAUGUGAAAUGGCUAGCUAGUUAGCGGUGUUCGCGCUAAAUAGCGUUUCAAUCGGUGACGUCACUUGAGACCUUGAAGUAGUAGUUCCCCUUGCUCUGCAAGGGCCGCGGCUUUUGUGGAGCGAUGGGUAACGAUGCUUCGUGGGUGACUGUUGUUAAUGUGUGCAGAGGGUCCCUGGUUCGCGCCCGGGUAUGGGCGAGGGCACGGUCUAAAGUUAUACUGUUACAUUGGUGCCGUGACCCGGAUCACUGCUUGCUGCGGAAAAGGAGGAGGUCAAAAGGGGGGUGAGUAUAACGGAUGUGAAACAGCUAGCUAGUUAGCGGUGGUGCGCGCUAAAUAGCGUUUCAAUCGGUGACAUCACUUGCUCUGAGACCUUGAAGUAGUAGUUCCCCUUGCUCUGCAAAAGCCCCGUUACAUCUGCACAAAAUUGAAAGCUUGCUCUUAUAACCCCUGCUCACAAACACACAAUGGCUCUGCAACCCGUAUCCUUUUUCACUCACUUAACUCCACACUUUCCAAACACAAAAACACACACCCUCCUUCCAUCACAAUACAUGUGUACAUACCCACAUACUGUGCCUUGCAUGUCCUCUGUGUUAUCUCUACCGAGUUGAUUGAGUACUUUUGUGUUCCAGUUCCUUAUAUUUGAAGAUGUAUUAUUUUGCUAAUUAUCCUGUCUUCUAUAAUGCUGUCUUAUCAAUUUCUGAAAUACUAUAAAUGGAAAGUCUAAAAGGAAUGAUUUUCUAACAUUCCCUAUCUAGAAUGGUAUAGUGUAGUUUAUUUCUUUAACAAUUGUUGUAUUUUAUUGCUUUUCUAUAUUUAUUAUUUAUUACAAUCUCUACCAUGUCUAGUAUUGCGUGUUCUAUUAUUCGACUCCUCCAUGGGUAGUUUGUAAUUUUUAGAAUAGCCAUGGAGUAGUCUUUUGUGUCUGAACAUUUGGUUAUCAAUAUACAGUUUAUCGACUACGAGAGCUACACGUUUCCCUUUCAAUCUAUUUCUCUUGAAGAUUGGAUACAGAACUUUGCGCCGUUCUGCAAUUUCUUUCGGAAACUGAUCAUUCAUGCCAGCAAGUCUUUUACCCCUAGCUUUUAACCAUUAUUUUAUCUUUAAAGAAAGCAACUUUGGAAACGAUUGGGCGUUCAUAUCUCUGCCCAAAACGGUGUACACGUUCGAGUUGGAUUUUGUCGACAGCUUCCCUGUAAAGAGGAACUCCCUCAGGAACUUCUCCUUCUUUCUAUUGGAUAUCCAUUUCUCGUCACUCAUCUCGAGGUUUGCCUUCAUCUCCUCUUAUAUCCUUACUGACUAAUUAAAGUAUUCCCAGUUUGUCAUUUAUUGAUUUUAACAGAUCGGUUUCCACCCUUACCAUUCCCGGUGGUGAAAAUAUUAAAUUGUCUGUCUGUCGAAGAGUCACGUUUCCUUUCCGGGAUUGGUUCCCCAGUUUUACUCUCCAUCAUGUUUGGGUGUUGCUUGUUUUCGUAAUAUUUGUCGGCACAUUUCUCUAGCCUCAUGAUAUGUUUUGUUAUCUAGAUUGAAGGUUAGACCAGUUUGUGAAAUGCUAAUAUUUAAUCUAAUUUACCAAUAUUGAAUAUUACGUUUUUAUCUUGAGGUGAUAUACACUGCUGUGUUCAGUCCGCCAUCUUUUUCAGCCUCGGCAACAGGCAUUUUACAGCGGGAGCGUUCCGAUCGGCAUCUCACUUCCCUCGAUGAGCCAAUGUUUUGGAAUCAAUCAUCAGCAAAACCAACUGUAACAUACAAUUCGCAUACACCAUCGCACAACAGGUUGAAAUCAAGAGGUGUUUCUUUGCCAUCAAUGGGUUCCCAAAUACGAACGGAGCAAUAGACAGCACCCACAUAACCAUAAAAGCACCAUCAUAAAAACAGUUGAAAUACACGAUGUACAAAAGUAUGUGGACACCCCUUUAAAUUAGUGGAUUCGGCUAAUUCAGCCUCACUCGUUGGUGACAGGUGUAUAACAUUGAGCACACAGCCAUGCACUUUCCAUAGACAAAUGUUGGCAGUAGAAUGGCCUUACUGAAGAGCUCAGUGACUUUCAACUUGGAACUGUCAUAGGAUGCCACCUUUCCAACAAAUCAGUUAAUCAAAUUUCUGCCCUGCUAGAGCUCUGCCAGUCAACUGCAAGUGCUGUUGUUGUGACGUGGAAACUACUAGGAGCAACAACGGCUCAGCCGCGAAGUGGUAGGCCACUGGAGUCAAUUGGAGGUGUACCUGUGGAUGUAUUUAAAGGCCUACCUUCAAACUCAGUGCCUCUUUGCUUGACAUCAUGGGAAAAUCAAAAGAAAUCAGCCAAGACAGAAAAAAAUUGUAAACCCCCACAAGUCUGGUUCAUUCUUGGGAGCAAUUUCCAAAAGCCUGAAUGUACCAUGUUCAUCUGUACAAACAGUAGUGUGCAAGUAUAAACACCAUGGGACCACGCAGCCGUCAUACUGCUCAGGAAGGAGACGCGUUCUGUCUCCUAGAGAUGAACAUACUUUUGUGUGAAAGUGCAAAUCAAUCCCAAAACAACAGCAAAGGACCUUGUGAAGAUGCUGGAGGAAACAGGUACAUAAGUAUCUAUAUCCAGUGUAAAAUGAGUUCUAUAUCAACAUAACCUGAAGGGAUGCUCAGCAAGGAAGAAGCCACUGCUCAAAAACCGCCAUAAAAAAGCUAGACUACGGUUUGCAACUGCACAUGGGGACAAAUAUCAUACUUUUUGGAGAAAUGUCCUCUGGUCUGAUGAAACAAAAAUAGAACUUUUUGGCCAUAAUGACUGUUAAACAGCCACUAACAUUGAGUGGCUGCUGCCAACACACUGACUCAACUCCAGCCACUUUAAUAAUGGGAAAUGAUGUAAAAUAUAUCACUAGCCACUUUAAACAAUGCUACCAAAUAUAAUGUUUACAUACCCUACAUUAUUCAUCUCAUAUGUAUACGUAUAUACUGUACUCUAUAUCAUCUACUGCAUCCUUAUGUAAUACAUGUAUCACUAGCCACUAACUAUGCCACUUUGUUUACAUACUCAUCUCAUAUGUAUAUACUGCACUCAAUACCAUCUACUGUAUCUUGCCUAUGCCGCUCUGUACCAUCACUCAUUCAUAUAUCUUUAUGUACAUAUUCUUUAUGCCCUUACACUUGUGUCUAUAAGGUAGUAGUUUUGGAAUUGUUAGCUAGAUUACUUGUUGGUUAUUACUGCAUUGUCGGAACUAGAAGCACAAGCAUUUCGCUACACUCGCAUUAACAUCUGCUAACCAUGUGUAUGUGACAAAUAAAAUUUGAUUUGAUUAGA